CAAGGCAAAGGGCUCAGUGCUGGAGCACAGAGCUCGUGAUCCGGAGAAGCAGAGAGGCCAGACUGACCACAACUGGCAGAUUGAGAGCGAGUGCCAAGAAGUGAAACCAAGAAGUUUGGGGCCAAGAAGUCAUCCCAGAGCACCAACAGGGACUUCCUUGGUGGCCCAGUGGUUAAGGAUUCACCUUCCAAUACAGGGGACCCAGGUUCAAUCCCUGGUCCGGGAAGAUCACACAUGCCAUGGAGCAACUAAGCCCACAUACCACAACUACUGAGACUAUGAGCUGCAACUAGAGAAAGGUGCCCAUGCCACAAAGAAGAGACCACAAUAAAAGAUCCUGUAUGCC